AGCGAACGCUGGCGGCAGGCUUAACACAUGCAAGUCGAGCGGGCAUCUUCGGAUGUCAGCGGCAGACGGGUGAGUAACACGUGGGAACGUACCCUUCGGUUCGGAACAACUCUGGGAAACUGGAGCUAAUACCGGAUACGCCCUUAUGGGGAAAGGUUUACUGCCGAAGGAUCGGCCCGCGUCUGAUUAGCUAGUUGGUGGGGUAACGGCCUACCAAGGCGACGAUCAGUAGCUGGUCUGAGAGGAUGAUCAGCCACACUGGGACUGAGACACGGCCCAGACUCCUACGGGAGGCAGCAGUGGGGAAUAUUGGACAAUGGGCGCAAGCCUGAUCCAGCCAUGCCGCGUGAGUGAUGAAGGCCUUAGGGUUGUAAAGCUCUUUUGGCCGGGACGAUAAUGACGGUACCGGAAGAAUAAGCCCCGGCUAACUUCGU
rnacentral:rRNA from 1 species